UUGAACGCUGGCGGCAGGCCUAACACAUGCAAGUCGAGCGGUAGCACAGAGAGCUUGCUCUCGGGUGACGAGCGGCGGACGGGUGAGUAAUGUCUGGGAAACUGCCUGAUGGAGGGGGAUAACUACUGGAAACGGUAGCUAAUACCGCAUAAUGUCGCAAGACCAAAGUGGGGGACCUUCGGGCCUCAUGCCAUCAGAUGUGCCCAGAUGGGAUUAGCUAGUAGGUGGGGUAACGGCUCACCUAGGCGACGAUCCCUAGCUGGUCUGAGAGGAUGACCAGCCACACUGGAACUGAGACACGGUCCAGACUCCUACGGGAGGCAGCAGUGGGGAAUAUUGCACAAUGGGCGCAAGCCUGAUGCAGCCAUGCCGCGUGUGUGAAGAAGGCCUUCGGGUUGUAAAGCACUUUCAGCGGGGAGGAAGGCGUUAAGGUUAAUAACCUUGGCGAUUGACGUUACCCGCAGAAGAAGCACCGGCUAACUCCGUGCCAGCAGCCGCGGUAAUACGGAGGGUGCAAGCGUUAAUCGGAAUUACUGGGCGUAAAGCGCACGCAGGCGGUCUGUCAAGUCGGAUGUGAAAUCCCCGGGCUCAACCUGGGAACUGCAUUCGAAACUGGCAGGCUAGAGUCUUGUAGAGGGGGGUAGAAUUCCAGGUGUAGCGGUGAAAUGCGUAGAGAUCUGGAGGAAUACCGGUGGCGAAGGCGGCCCCCUGGACAAAGACUGACGCUCAGGUGCGAAAGCGUGGGGAGCAAACAGGAUUAGAUACCCUGGUAGUCCACGCCGUAAACGAUGUCGAUUUGGAGGUUGUGCCCUUGAGGCGUGGCUUCCGGAGCUAACGCGUUAAAUCGACCGCCUGGGGAGUACGGCCGCAAGGUUAAAACUCAAAUGAAUUGACGGGAGCCCGCACAAGCGGUGGAGCAUGUGGUUUAAUCCGAUGCAACGCGAAGAACCUUACCUGGUCUUGACAUCCACAGAACUUAGCAGAGAUGCUUUGGUGCCUUCGGGAACUGUGAGACAGGUGCUGCAUGGCUGUCGUCAGCUCGUGUUGUGAAAUGUUGGGUUAAGUCCCGCAACGAGCGCAACCCUUAUCCUUUGUUGCCAGCGGUUAGGCCGGGAACUCAAAGGAGACUGCCAGUGAUAAACUGGAGGAAGGUGGGGAUGACGUCAAGUCAUCAUGGCCCUUACGACCAGGGCUACACACGUGCUACAAUGGCAUAUACAAAGAGAAGCGACCUCGCGAGAGCAAGCGGACCUCAUAAAGUAUGUCGUAGUCCGGAUUGGAGUCUGCAACUCGACUCCAUGAAGUCGGAAUCGCUAGUAAUCGUAGAUCAGAAUGCUACGGUGAAUACGUUCCCGGGCCUUGUACACACCGCCCGUCACACCAUGGGAGUGGGUUGCAAAAGAAGUAGGUAGCUUAACCUUCGGGAGGGCGCUUACCACUUUGUGAUUCAUGACUGGGGUG
rnacentral:rRNA from 1 species